GAAAAAAAAAACUCUAGGUUUCCGUGUCUAACGUUUGACUGUCCGUCUUAUAAGAAUUUUUUUUAUAAUUAGUAUUUUUAUUGUUAUUAAAUGAUAAAACAUGAUUAAUACUUUAUGCGUGACUUAUCUUUUUAAUUUUUUUUCAUAUUUUUUUUAAAUAGACAAACGGUCAAACGUUGGACAUUGAAACAUAGGGUUUGUCUUUUU
rfam:Oryza sativa (indica cultivar-group) chromosome 1, whole genome shotgun sequence.